CAAGUUCUGUGCCCCCGUGUAUAAAUGUAUAUAUCCGUCUUUUGUCAUAAAUCUUUAUGUUCUCACAAAAAUAUACAGAGAAUAUCGGUAAUAUGUGAUUAAUGAUUAAUCCACAGAAACCUGUGAUUAACCUGAUUACAAUUUUUUAUCGUUUCACAGCCCUAAUAUUAAUUUAAUAUAACUUCUGAAUCACGGGCUGUGUCUACUACCGCGCACUUAACGAAGUACACUGCAAUGCGUCGCUGAUGAGUCUGUCUCAAAUGGAACACUUACGUUAACCACUUGGCGGAAGUGACGGACGCAAAUCUGUUCACGGCACCCGCGAAAUUAAGCCGGGAGUGACGUAUGCAAAUCUGCUUGCGACACCCAAACCCUUAAAGUGACCAAAUGAAGCACUUCUUGCCCUCUUGUUGUCCCUUGUUUACCUUUCUCCACCCCAUGUGGAAACUGCGAUACCUCCACAAUCGCGGCAGGAGCCUCCGCCUUCUGGCUGAAGUCGAGAUGGUAUAUCAGCCACCCAGUCCCAGCGGCGCUGCCGUAUCAAUGCUGCAAUGCCACUGCUGGCGUUGUGUUGUGAUGGCCACAGUGACAUGAGGGUGGACUUCAGGCUCACCCGAGAGUCAUUCAAUGCCCUCAUGGCUGUGCUGGGCACUGACUGACCACGGUUGGGGCCCCGAGAUCUCCCGUCUAGUUUUUAUUUUUUGGCUUGCCAGCGCCACCUCCCAUCGGGUGGUGGCCCGGGCCUUCGACAGGCCCCGGACUCAGAGCAUGAUGCCAGGGUCCUGAAUAACAGCCCCAUCUUCUAUGAGCAGGCAUACC